UACAGAGGGGGCAAGCGUUGUUCGGAAUUACUGGCCGUAAAGGGCGCGUAGGCGGCCUUCUAAGUCGAACGUGAAAUCCCCGGGCUCAACCCGGGAACUGCGUCCGAUACUGGAAGGCUUGAAUCCGGGAGAGGGAUGUGGAAUUCCAGGUGUAGCGGUGAAAUGCGUAGAUAUCUGGAGGAACACCGGUGGCGAAGGCGGGUCUCUGGACAGUUCCUGACGCUGAGGCACGAAGGUCAGGGGAGCAAACGGG
rnacentral:rRNA from 1 species